CCUACGGGAGGCAGCAGUGAGGAAUAUUGGUCAAUGGCCGUAUGGCUGAACCAGCCAAGUCGCGUGAAGGAAGAAGGAUCUAUGGUUUGUAAACUUCUUUUAUAGGGGAAUAAAGGUAUCCACGUGUGGAUAUUUGCAUGUACCCUAUGAAUAAGGAUCGGCUAACUCCGUGCCAGCAGCCGCGGUAAUACGGAGGAUCCGAGCGUUAUCCGGAUUUAUUGGGUUUAAAGGGAGCGUAGAUGGGUUGUUAAGUCAGUUGUGAAAGUUUGCGGCUCAACCGGAAAAUUGCAAUUGAUACUGGCAGGCUUGAGUACAGUUGAGGUAGGCGGAAUUCGUGGUGUAGCGGUGAAAUGCGUAGAUAUCACGAAGAACCCCGAUUGCGAAGGCAGCUUACUAAACUGUGACUGACAUUGAUGCUCGAAAGUGUGGGGAUCAAACAGGAUUAGAUACCCUUGUAGUC
rnacentral:rRNA from 1 species